UACGUAGGGGGCAAGCGUUGUCCGGAUUCAUUGGGCGUAAAGAGCGUGUAGGCGGCUAGGUAGGUCGGUUGUGAAAACUGGAGGCUCAACCUUCAGAGGUCGACCGAAACCAUCUGGCUAGAGUCCGGGAGAGGAGAGUGGAAUUCCUGGUGUAGCGGUGAAAUGCGCAGAUAUCAGGAAGAACACCCGUGGCGAAAGCGGCUCUCUGGGCCGAUACUGACGCUGAGGAGCGAAAGCGUGGGGAGCAAACAGG
rnacentral:rRNA from 1 species